GUUUAUUUGAUAGUACCUUACUACAUGGAUACCUGUGGUAAUUCUAGAGCUAAUACAUGCUGAAAACCCCGACUUCGGAAGGGGUGUAUUUAUUAGAUAAAAAACCAAUGCCCUUUCGGGGCUUCUUGGUGAUUCAGAAUAACUUCUCAGAUCGCAUGGCCUUGCGCCGGCGACGGUUCAUUCAAAUUUCUGCCCUAUCAACUUUCGAUGGUAAGGUAUUGGCUUACCAUGGUUUUUACGGGUAACGGGGAAUUAGGGUUCGAUUCCGGAGAGUCAGCCUGAGAAACGGCUGACACAUCCAAGGAAGGCAGCAGGCGCGCAAAUUACCCAAUCCCGACACGGGGAGGUAGUGACAAUAAAUACUGAUAUGAGGCUCUUUUGGGUCCCAUAAUUGGAAUGAGUACAAUUUAAACCUCUUAACGAGGAACAAUUGGAGGGCAAGUCUGGUGCCAGCAGCCGCGGUAAUUCCAGCUCCAAUAGCGUAUAUUAAAGUUGUUGCAGUUAAAAAGCUCGUAGUUGAACCUUUGGCCUGGCUGGCAGGUCCGCCUCACCGCGUGCACUUGUCCGGCCGGGCCUUUUCUCCUGGAGAACCGCAUGCCCUUCACUGGGUGUGUUGGGGACCAGGACUUUUACUUUGAAAAAAUUAGAGUGUUCAAAGCAGGCCUUUGCUCGAAUAUUACAGCAUGGAAUAAUAGAAUAGGACGUUGCGGUUCUAUUUUGUUGGUUUCUAGGACCGCCGUAAUGAUUAAUAGGGACAGUCGGGGGCAUCAGUAUUCAAUUGUCAGAGGUGAAAUUCUUGGAUUUAUUGAAGACUAACUACUGCGAAAGCAUUUGCCAAGGAUGUUUUCAUUAAUCAGUGAACGAAAGUUAGGGGAUCGAAGACGAUCAGAUACCGUCGUAGUCUUAACCAUAAACUAUGCCGACUAGGGAUCGGGCGGUGUUACUAUUUG
rnacentral:rRNA from 1 species